GUGUGUUACAUUUCGGUAUUGUGUCUCUGUUAUAUCGUAGUUUUUCUUAUAUUUGAUAUGUUUCCCUCAGUUUUAGUUUGUAACCCGGAUUUGUUUUUUCUCUAUCAAUUUAUGAAUUUUGAACAGCGGUAUACUACUGUUGCCUUUAUUAUUCAGCAAAGUAAAUAGUUAUCAAAGGUACCAGGAUUAUAAUUUAGUACGCCAGACGCGCGUUUCGUCUACAUAAGACUCAUCAGUGACGCUCAUAUAAAUAU
rnacentral:lncRNA from 1 species